rnacentral:rRNA from 1 species
GAACGCUGGCGGCGUGCCUAAUACAUGCAAGUCGAACGCUUUUUCUUUCACCGGAGCUUGCUCCAUCGAAAGAAAAAGAGUGGCGAACGGGUGAGUAACACGUGGGUAACCUGCCCAUCAGAAGGGGAUAACACUUGGAAACAGGUGCUAAUACCGUAUAACACUAUUUUCCGCAUGGAAGAAAGUUGAAAGGCGCUUUUGCGUCACUGAUGGAUGGACCCGCGGUGCAUUAGCUAGUUGGUGAGGUAACGGCUCACCAAGGCAACGAUGCAUAGCCGACCUGAGAGGGUGAUCGGCCACACUGGGACUGAGACACGGCCCAGACUCCUACGGGAGGCAGCAGUAGGGAAUCUUCGGCAAUGGACGAAAGUCUGACCGAGCAACGCCGCGUGAGUGAAGAAGGUUUUCGGAUCGUAAAACUCUGUUGUUAGAGAAGAACAAGGAUGAGAGUAAAAUGUUCAUCCCUUGACGGUAUCUAACCAGAAAGCCACGGCUAACUACGUGCCAGCAGCCGCGGUAAUACGUAGGUGGCAAGCGUUGUCCGGAUUUAUUGGGCGUAAAGCGAGCGCAGGCGGUUUCUUAAGUCUGAUGUGAAAGCCCCCGGCUCAACCGGGGAGGGUCAUUGGAAACUGGGAGACUUGAGUGCAGAAGAGGAGAGUGGAAUUCCAUGUGUAGCGGUGAAAUGCGUAGAUAUAUGGAGGAACACCAGUGGCGAA